AAACAUAGCCUAAAGAUAAUUAAUUUUAGGUAACGCCUGCCCAGUGAAUUUUAAACGGCCGCGGUAUCCUGACCGUGCAAAGGUAGCAUAAUAAUUUGUCUUAUAAUUUAAGUCUAGUAUGAAUGGCUUUACGAAAUAGAUUCUAUCUUUUUUUUAAAAGAAAAUAAAACUGAAAGUAAAAAUGCUUUCAUUUUUAAAAAAGACAAGAAGACCCUAUUGAGCUUAAUUUCAAUAUAAACCUGAAUUUUUGCUGGGGCGGCAUGAAAAUAUUUUAAACUUUUCUCUUUUAAAGAUUCAUAAUCUUAAGAUCCUUUAUUGAUAAAAAGAAAAAGCUACCUUAGGGAUAACAGACUAAUUUUAAUUAAGAGUUCUCAUCGAAAUUAAAGAUUGGCACCUCGAUGUUGGCUUAGGAUAUUUUCUUUUUGUAGAAGAAAAGAAAAAUGGUUUGUUCAACCAUUAAUUUCCUACAUGAUCUGAGUUCAAACCGGAG
rnacentral:rRNA from 1 species